CCAAGUCGCGUGAAGGACGACGGCCCUAUGGGUUGUAAACUUCUUUUGCAGGGGAAUAAAGUGAAGUACGUGUACUUUUUUGUAUGUACUCUGCGAAUAAGGAUCGGCUAACUCCGUGCCAGCAGCCGCGGUAAUACGGAGGAUCCGAGCGUUAUCCGGAUUUAUUGGGUUUAAAGGGUGCGUAGGCGGACGUUUAAGUCAGUGGUGAAAGUUUGCAGCUCAACUGUAAAAUUGCCAUUGAAACUGAAUGUCUUGAGUGCAAAUGAGGUAGGCGGAAUGUGUUGUGUAGCGGUGAAAUGCAUAGAUAUAACACAGAACACCGAUUGCGAAGGCAGCUUACUGGGAUGCAACUGACGCUGAGGCACGAAAGCGUGGGGAUCAAACAGGAUUAGAUACCCUGGUAGUCCACGCAGUAAACGAUGAAUACUAGCUGUAUGCGAUAUACUGUAUGUGGCAAAGCGAAAGCGUUAAGUAUUCCACCUGGGGAGUACGUUCGCAAG
rnacentral:rRNA from 1 species